ACGUCCACGCGCCUUGUUUUGAUUGCGAACAGCUGACAGUAAAGUGUCCACAUUUUCAUAUGAAACAUGGCUUGCAAAACUUCGAUAGUGGAAAAUGCAUCUCAACUUUCCUUUGGGAGAUUAUAAAGCCCAAAAAGACUCUUGUUCCCACAUGGCGACUACAUGGCUUUUACUUGUUCAUUCUUGUGGAUUCAGCUCAUGAGGUUACCCGUUCAACUUUACCCACAUGCAUGAUUCCUUGUGUUUUACAGACUUUUUACCGGUAAUUCAAAUUCAAUACGAUAAAGCGUGAACAAUAAUGGAACUUUAAGAUAGCAUCAUGCUUGUUGUGUUUGACAAGAAAUUAUGACAAACAAGAUUAAGGCUGUUUAAAGAAAUUUACAAUUUUUAUUUGUUAGUUGUGAAAAUUGGUUUCUCAAUAAAAGUAUGCAAUUAUGUUUCCUUUAUUUUGUAUUUUAUAAUGAUAUUUAGAUGUGUUUAAUUGAAAUAUCAUCUCUGUUUCUAAUUUUCUCCUUUAAGAUUACAUGUAGGAUAUGUAAAUGUACAUUUGACCAGGAUAUAACAACUGCUAUGAUAAUUACUUUUGAAAUGAACAAGAAAUAGCAUAUUUUUACAUUUUAAAUGUAUAUAAUUAUGCAAAUGCAGAAAAACAUGUCAAAUUUGAACAUUUAUCAUGGAGUUUUCAUCCGUCUCCAGCUACCCAGGUUUGUUUAAAUUUAAUUUUAAUGUAAGAAAUUGUCAAACUUGUAUACCUAAGGUCUUACUGUUCAGCAUGAAUAAAAGGAGACUAGAAACCAGAAUUGAUUAGAUAUUCUCAAAAUAUGACUGUUAGCUUACUUUUUUUCAUGGAAAUAAGAAAUGACAUGCAGCACAAUAAUCAUCCAGUAAACAAAAAAAGAUC
rnacentral:sRNA from 1 species